AUUUUCUAAAAACCCAACGGAAAGAUGCUGUGCCAAACCCCUCAAGACAGGUCUGAAAAUCACCCGGGAGAAUCACCCGGCUUGAGCUGCGCUCACCCGCUGUUCCUUGGCCUCACCUGCACCACAGUAGGGUGAAAGGGCCCCCGCUGGGAAGGAAGUGCCUGAAGAAGGCUCAGCCACCCCCCCCCCCCACCGGCAGACGGGGUGGCCUGAGAGGAAGGAGGGGGUUGUCUAGGGAAGUUUGGACGAUCCCUGUCCCGCUGUCAGGAUGUCUGUGGGGCAGCGAGCACCCCAAACUGGGCAGAGGUGCCGCUCUCCUGUCUGGGCCUGGCGCUCUGCUGCUCACCUGGCGCACAGGUCGCUGACUUCUCAGCCCACAGAAGGGCUUGGAGAAGAACCGCACGUGCCCCGAGUCACACAGUUACUUUCCAGAGACAGGUUCGAGCUGGCAGGGCUACCGUCCCACCAGCCAACAUCUGGCUUCCCAGAGACCUCGCAAUCAACCGGUGGGGGGAGAGCAUUGUCAAGCGGCGAGGGGACCCGGGACGGCCAGAGAGCCAGGAAGGGCACAGGCAGUGGGGAGAAGAGGGGAACUUACCAGUUCCUUCUGGAGAGUCUUUUUGAGUUCCAGCAUCCUCUGCUGCAUCUGCUUUAUGGUCUGAGACAAACCCCGCCCCCCGCAAAAAGCCAUCUGUUACAUGCACAUUCCACCAUCUUUAAGGUGCCAAGGACAACAGAACAGCCAGCCACCCCUUGGGACCCUAUACACCUGUUAUAAGACACUGUCCCGUCUCCUGAGGGGCUCGUGUUGUCACACCUGUGUGCCUCCCGCCCGGGGCCCUCUUCUCUCCUUCUCGCUGCUCUGCACGCACAUGCUCUCCAGGCCCCACAAGGGCCACUGAAGCCGUCACAUACCCUCUGUGGAGCACUCGUGCCCCAGGGCUGCCCCGGCCUCCCCACGGGCUCAGCCCUCAGGACCGCUUCAGGUGCCUGCGUCUGGAAACCCCUCUGUACGGUAGACUUGUCCUUCCGAAUGAGAUUUACGUGCUAUGAUCCCUCACCACUGCUCCGGAAAUACCAUUUUCAAUGCUUAUUUGGAACAGUGUAAACGGUCAUGGUUUUUCUGUACUUCUCUAUUUUAUUUUUAGUUUAAUUAGUAUUGAGCUUUAAGUGUAAUUUAUUACACACUCCGUUAAUCACUAAAAACGCUAACCUCUGUUUUCCCAAUGAGAAAAUUUACUGUAUAAUCAGCAAUACAGGAAAAAACAUUAAACAUUUCUCCAAAGUCUCACAAACUUAGUCUUUCCCGUGACCUUCAGGUCUGAGUCACUGAUCUUGCACCGAGUAGCUGGAAUUGUGAAUAGUGUAUGUUUUUCAUUUAUCACAGUUUUCAUAGCUUUUCACGGUUUCCCUAACUUUUUUUUUUAAGUAGGCUCUAUGCCCAACGUGGGGCUUGAACUCAUGACCCUGAGAGCAAGAGUUGUGUGCACCACCUACUGAGCCAACCAGGUGCCCCCUUAAUUUUAACUUCUAAUGUGACAGUAACUCGAGGGGAUGGCCCAUGCCUUAGAGCGGCGCUGAGCCUCCAUUUUUGAACACGGCAGUAAUAGCAGCUUCCCUUUCUCCAACGUGUGUCCAGUCUCUCCGCAGGACUGAGAUGGCUCUGCCACAGACCCAGCUCCCGUCAAGCACAUUAAAUGGCCUCCAACACAUCCCAUUUUAUAAAUGAUAAUGUGUUGUUUCAAUCUGUAUUCUCUUGGCUGACCACGAGGCUGGCAUUCACCCAAAAGUACAUUUGCUAUUUUAUGUAUUUUAAAUUUUCCCUGAUUUUCUAGGAUUUUGGUUCACUGAUUAACUCAUCUAACAAGUACUGAUUAAAUCCCUACUACAGGCAGACGCUGUCCUAGAGGCUGGGGAAAAGCAAGAAGCAAAAGAAGAAAAAUGCUCAGGGGCACGUGGGUGGUUCAGUUGGUUAAGCAUCCAACUCUUAAUCUCUGCUCAGGUCAUGAUCUCACGGUUGUGAGAUCGAGUCCCACGUCGGACUCCGCAAUGAGCACAGAGCCCGCUUGGAUUCUCUCUCCCCCUCUCUCUCUACCCCUCUCCCGUGUGCUUGUUCUCUUUGUCUCUUGCUUUCUCUCAAAAUAAAUAAACAUUAAGUUUAAUUUUUUUAAAUGUUUACUUCUAUUUGAGAGAGACAGAGCAUGAGCGGGGGAGGGGCAGAGAGAGGUGGAAACAGAAUCCAAGGGGGCUCCAGGCUCUGAGCUGUCAGCACAGAGCCUGACAUGAGGCCCAAACUCAUGAGUCGUGAAAUUGUGACCUGAGCCAAAGUCGGAUGCUCAACCGACUGAGCCACCCAGGCACCCCAACAAAUAAACAUUGAAAAAAAAAAAGAAGAAAGAAAAAAAUGAAAAAUACCUGCUCUCAGGAGGAGAAAAUGUCAGUGACCAUACAUUACAUAAGAAGGUAUUAAGAGGCCUGGUAAGGGGACAGGACGUUCUGGUGGUGAUGGUGAGGGCUGCCAAGCAUAGUGGGGAGGGGGGGUGGGGAGGUGGAGGGGGGCCCUCCUUAACAAAAUGACAUCACAAAGGAAGUGAGGGGAUUAUAGGAAGGAUAUUCCAGACAGAAGGCUCAGCAAGUACAAAGGUCCUGCGGCGGGAGGGUGCUUGACAGUCACAGAAAGGCAAGGCCAAUGUGGCUAAGAGGGGGUGCAGUACAAAGGGUACUAAGGGGCCAAACCACACAGGGCUUUGUGGGCCACUGCAAGGAUGUGGCUUAUAUUUACAGAGACAGGGGAAGUCAUCAGAGGGCUGGUACAGAGGUGGUGACAGGGAAACCAUUAGAAGCCCAACACCAGCCUACAGGGAAGAAUGGUAACCCCACCUAUGGUGGCAGCAGUGGUGGGGAUGAGGUGCAGCCCAUUUGGGGUAUAGUUUGAAGGGAGAGCCAGAAGGAUUUGUUAAUGGUUUGGAUGUUGCUUGUGUAAGAAACAAGGGCGUUGAGAAUGAUACUAAGAUUUUUACUUUUUACGUUUACUGAGACAAGAGCAGCCCCCAUUAGGCAGCAUGGUGAAUGUGAAGUUGGGUUUUGGACAGUUUACGCAGAUGCCUUGUAGACACUGCCACGGAGACAGACACAAUCUAAAGCUCCAGGGAGCCGUCUGGCCUUGAGAUAAGGAUGUGGGCGCCCAAAGUGGGCAGUAGAGGCAGGACUCUGAGGGAGUGAAUGCCACUUAGAGAGGAGGUCUGAGGGCUGGGUCCUGGGCACAGGGAGUUUGUGCGCUUUUCUGUAGUUUACACUUCACAGUAAGAUUAAAUGCUCAUGUGUAAGUGAGAAUGAGCAUUUUUUCCUUUUGUUAUAGAUCUAAAAAAAUACACACCCACAAUCACACUUUGGAGGCCAGAGCAGUGACCAGCCAGCACCCUUAACUUCCCAGCGCACUUGGAAACCAGGAUCAAAGGAGACCCUGCACUUGCAGUAAAACCGCUAGAAGACAGGCAUCACUGGGUCAUUUCACAGCCAUAGAAAGGAAGUGAGAGGUAAGGUGAUGGGUCCAAUAUGACCCAGCUGGUGACAGCAGCACCUGUGACAUCUGGCCUCACUACUGCCUGAGCGCAAAUACUCUGGACAUUAUCUCAAGCGUGGGGGAGGUGUGAAAGGAAGACUGCCCAGGUGGAAGUCCAGGAAGAAGCCCUUCUGGUGAAGAGCUGCCCUAGGUCCACAGCCCCCACCUCACCAUUUGGGAUUCCCUCUGCAGCCGGAAGCUGGUACGUGGGGUCCUGCGUGGCCCUCGAGGCCGCCUACAGGAUGGACAAGGCAAUGGUCAAGCUAAGCCACAGGUCCAUGGGGAAAGGCGCCCAGACUGGGUCCAAAGGUUCGGGCUGAUGUGCCGGAACAGGCGGCUAGCUGGCCAGGAACCAAACCUGGGCUGUAGAGAUCCUGUCCAGCGCCUUCCAGGGGGACAGGCAGCUUUCCGUGCAGCGAGCGUGCUUGGAAGGAAAGGGCUCUACUGAACACGGACACGUGGCGCCACAUCCGACGGGCUCCUCAAUACCCACGAGCUCCUAGUCAGGUACGCACCCCUACUUUAAAGAAAGGGAGGUGACCUGCCCAACAUCCCGCAGCUAGUGAGCGCCAGCUCUCCUCCCCUCUUCUCACCGCCUCCUACUGGCAAACUACGGCAGGCAGCCCCGUCCUGCUGCCGUCACACUGGCCCGCGGCUCAGAUGGGGACUUACGUGAGGCUGGGGAACUGAGCGUGUCAACCCCUGCUCCGGGACAGCCAGUCUCAGCACGUCGAACCCCGCGGCAGCCUCGGACUCCUCCACCCUAAGGCUCUGCAGGGCUUCCAGCUCGCUCUGAAGCUGGUGCAUUUGCAACAGGGCAGAGUCGUGACCUAGGCCGGGCAGAGGGGAGCACCAGUGACUCCUCCUGGCCACCUCAGGGCAGGGGUACUGGGUGGGAGCAGGUGAGAGGGCUCGCCAGGGGUGGACUCCUCACCUUUCUUCAGUUGGAAAAUUUCCUGCUCUUUCUGGAGAAUCACUUCAGCUUUUUCCUGCAGACUCUGUUCCUUCUCAUCUACUACAGCUGUGAGGUUAGCAGCCUGGACAGAAAAAGCCAACAUAAGAGAAGGCCGGCAGCAGUAACCGAAUCUCCCCCAAAAGAAAUCUCCACUUUUCCGCUACCCAGGGUCCCCCAGGAAUCCCUCCCUGAAGUCUAAAGCCUUGAACAUACCCUAGGCUACCCUCUACUCCUAUGGACAGAGCACAAUUCUGGGGCCAGGGCCCUGCACAGGCUGCCCGCCCCCCACCCCCCAGCCUACCACUAGCGGGCCUACCAUAGAUGUGGUUGUUCUGCCCAGCCUUCCCCAAGCUGUCAUAACCAUGACUUCCGUGUCCUGAGUACCUGUGACAUGCCUAGCAUUUGACACACAUGACCUCAUUAUGAUCUGAAAGGUGUAAUUAUCCUAAAGUCUUUGCAGAUGCAACUGAGACUGGAAUUUAUGUUAAGGACUCACCGAAGGCCUAGAGUCCAUUCCCUACAAGGUCUGGGGCCCGAUGCUGAGUCUGUCUUGAAAGGAAGCUUUGCCCACCCUUCUCGCUGACGGCUCAGCUGUACUGCGUUCUCCGGGGCCUGUGGGCAGCGAUGCCCCUCACAGAGUCAGAGCCCAGGAGGCACCUGGAUGCGGGCUUUUCCCCAGAGACCUCAGGGUCAUCAAUCACACAGUUCCUGGCAUUCCUGACACCUGUGUCCAGCCCCUGGAGGGGGACACACGGGGAGGCAGGCUGGUCCUGCCCGAGGCUGGAACACACCACCCUUUGGCCCGUGCCUCAGGGUCAAAUGGGGCCUACCUGUUGCUGGAACUCUUCCCUCUGCUUCCGCACCUCCUCCAGGGCUUGAGCCAUUGCGACACUCACAAUUUCUCUUUGGCUCCACUCUUCCUACAAUCCAGAAAAUGGGUGGGACACUGAGCCCCCAAACGCCUCUCACGGGUGUUUCACUGCACGUUAUGUGCCACCCACUGGGGGAAUGCCAUCCUCCAUCCUACAGAUUUUCUUCCUGCUGCCCGAGGGUCCUGGACUGCCCUCUCGCUGCGGUGCCGUCUGUAUGCCUCUGAGAGCUGUCCUGGUGUACAACCCACCGACCUCUCCGCACAAGGGCAAACCGCCGAGGCUCGGGGAUCCCAUGGGCACACUAGCCAGUCCUCGGCCCAUGGUUAGGGGACCCAGAACUCCAAGAGAAGAGCUGGUCUGAUGAAAUCAACACAGAAUAGCAAGGAAGAUUCUCAGGCCAUGUGAAUGGACUAGUGGACCCGAACAACCCAAUUAUGGGAAAAAUAAUCAGCAAUUACUGAAUUAAAUAGGGCAGGGCAAAAUGCCACAGACUCAUCAAAAUUAUCCAUCUUAUAAGAGAAAAAUGCUCUGGUCCCACAGCUAGUAAGUGGCAUUGCCAGGUCUGAAGCCAGCAUCUGAGCUUAGAGCCAAGCCUCUGGAUGUUAGACUGUACCACCCAGAAAAUUUUCUACAUGGAGCCGGGCUGCCUCCCUGGCCUGCCCCACAGCACAGGAACCACCUCCUGACAGACAGACACAUCGGUCCUCUUCCCGGAGACGAAUGCCGUGCUCACAGAUCAACCCCUAGACUUCUCAGGUGCCUACAUUCUGGUCAGGGACAUCUGCGGUUUGUGUCUACCCCAGAUCACACCGUUUUGGGGGAUAAGAGCCUCAUCACUGCUAUUCCCCACUUCCACCCUGCAGUUCUGGAGGGCUGCCCAUGUUGUGGCUACAAGGAGAAGCAUGGGACUCAGGCCUGGCCAACUGAAGUACUGCAGCCCCCUGGCCAAACUGAUUUGUUCAAGGGGUGGCUCUGUCACCUAAGAUGGACCAAUCAGAAUCCUUUUUUACAUCAGAAGCCUUUUUGAUAAGCCAAGGAGAAGCCCUCUUUCCUAAGCUGGCAUGUCACCAGCUUGGAGCUGCUGCUGUGAUGACCACCCGAUUUGAAGGCCGCCACCUGUAUCGUGGGGAAAAGCAAGGCCAAGCGUCUGGGUAACUGACAGGGCAAGAAACAGCAUGAUGCAGGAAGGAAAGAGACCUGAGGCGCCCCCCACCCCCAAGUUCCAGUCGGACAAGUCUUUCUGGUUGUGGGAGCUACUCAACUCCCCUAUGACACCUUUCAAUUUGUGUCGGUACAAGUGAGUUGAUGGAAGGAGACGCCAGCCUCCUGACCAGGGGAAUUCUGGCUCCUACUGUGGAGUUGUCAGAAUUGACCUUUCUUUGAGUCCAUCUCUAGUAGAGAUGAGGAAACCUAGCGUCUGAAUUCAAAAGGCAGGAGCCCGCGCUGCGCCAGACAAUACCCCUCAUCGGGGGAGGCAGUGUUGAUACAGGAGAAGCAGCUAUGGAAACAUGGCCCUGUGAGUCCAAGCGGCAGGUGGCAGAAGGCUUUUCCGGGGAGGUUUAGAAGAGCUCGGACUGCUGGUGUCUAAGAGGACGGCCAGCAGACAGAGCGCGAGGCAGGAAAGCAGGUCAGGGCAGGAACCAGAGACUCAAAGCACCUCCAUGCCAGGAACUGCAUGGGAUACUUUUUAUCCACGGUCACGCUCGAGCCUUGGGGCAAUCCUCUCGAGGUCAAGGGUUAUUAUCUUCAGUUUUGAAAAAAGGGAAACUAGACUCCCUCAAGAGUCAGCCGGUGAGGGGCUAGGCUGGCACACAGGACGGGGUCUAUGCGGCUCUGAAGUCUGCUACCGCCAGAGCCGCAUGCAACCCAGGACUGUGGGAUUCGAGGUUGCCCGGCACAGUCCGGGUUGGCCACAGGAGCCACCAGGCUACCCACGUGUGGCAGCUCCCUGCACCUGGGAGUGUGUUCCCUGACAGCAGUCUAAAUAGGUAUGCACCUAAAAAUAGUGCUUCAAAACACUUGAGGCAAAGACUGACAACCGGCAGGAUUAAAGAGAGAGACAAAUCUGUGAUCACAGGUGAAGAUUUAACACAUCACUCUUACUAACUGAUGGAACAAGGAGACAAAAAAGAAACAUCAGAAAACAUAAAAGAUAUGGACAACACUAUCACCCAACUUGAUCUAAUUAGCAUUUACAGAAUGCUUUCCCCUCACAGCAGCAGCGCACUGAAACAUUUACCAAAAUAGACUCUGUAUGACAGGCUGGGCCAUAAAACAAACCUCAGUAAACAUCAAAGGGCUGAAAUCAUUUAGUGUAUGAUCUGAUCAUAAUAGUAUUAAACUAGAAAUCCAAGAUCGAGAACCUUCCGCAAACAUUUGAAAAUUAACCACACUUCUAAACAGCCUGUGUGCGCCAGUUUUUAUUCCCGCCUAUCGGCCCCACUGCCCCUUUCAUCCUCUGCUUUGCGACGAUGCUACAUCUGGUCUGAGGCUCUGCAAAUGACAUUUCUGCUCGUCCAGCUGGUUCCAUGUGAGCCUCUGCCAACAGGAGGAGCUCGAGGCAGACUGGAAAGCAGGAGAACACAGCAAAAGCCUUGCUCCUUCCUGUCCGCUUCUGCGAGCAGUCUGCACUGCCCUGGCGGUGGCAAGAAGGCAAUUUCUUCCCGCAGCCACAUCUGCAUCCGCUCUGCAGGUUCCCCAGCCCCGGGGCUGAUUUCACUGGCUGCCCUGUCCCCCAGCACACCAGCGCCCGCUCAACAGCGUCCCCUGCU